AACGAACGCUGGCGGCAUGCCUAACACAUGCAAGUCGAACGAGACCUUCGGGUCUAGUGGCGCACGGGUGCGUAACGCGUGGGAACCUGCCCUUAGGUUCGGAAUAACUCCCCGACAGGGGUGCUAAUACCGGAUAAUGUCUUCGGACCAAAGAUUUAUCGCCUUUGGAUGGGCCCGCGUUGGAUUAGCUAGUUGGUAGGGUAAAAGCCUACCAAGGCGACGAUCCAUAGCUGGUAUGAGAGGAUGAUCAGCGACACUGGGACUGAGACGCGGCCCAGACUCCUACGGGAGGCAGCAGUGGAGAAUAGUGGAAAAUGGGCGAAAGGAUGAUCCAGCAAUGCCGGGUGAGUGAUGAAGGCCUUAGGGUUGUAAAGCUCUUUUAACCGGGAUGAUAAUGACAGUACCGGGAGAAUAAGCUCCGGCUAACUACGUG
rnacentral:rRNA from 1 species